CAUUUAUAGACCCUCCGCUCGGAGGAUUUGUCAAAAUAUUACACUUUGUCAUGAUAUUUCCCUUAGGGCAAAGUCCCUCGGGAAAUAUCAUGGAUCACUUCGGGUAAUAUUUUGCCGAAUUCCCCUCGCACUGGGUCUAUAAAUGAUAAGAAUCCACUUACAGCAGUAAUUUCACGUGAUACGCGACCACCUCACGCAAAUAGGUUGAGAGUGCAAUACAUACAGUUGUUCCUUGACAUCAAGGCGCGGUAACUAAUUCAAUAUGAGAAACGUCAAAAGACUCGCG